GAUGAACGCUGGCGGCGUGCCUAAUACAUGCAAGUCGAACGCUGGAGAUCUAGCUUGCUAGAUCGAAGGAGUGGCGAACGGGUGAGUAAUACAUAAGCAACCUACCCACGAAGACUGGGAUAAUCUCUGGAAACGGGGACUAAUACCGGAUAGGUAAUCGGAAGGCAUCUUCUGGUUAUUAAAGGUUAAAAACACUGGUGGAUGGGCUUAUGGCGCAUUAGUUAGUUGGUGAGGUAACGGCCCACCAAGACGAUGAUGCGUAGCCGGCCUGAGAGGGUGAACGGCCACAUUGGGACUGAGACACGGCCCAGACUCCUACGGGAGGCAGCAGUAGGGAAUUUUCGGCAAUGGGGGCAACCCUGACCGAGCAACGCCGCGUGAGUGAAGACGGCCUUCGGGUUGUAAAGCUCCGUUGUAAGGGAAGAACGGUAGAUAGAGAAUAUCUAAGUGACGGUACCUUACCAGAAAGCCACGGCUAACUACGUG
rnacentral:rRNA from 1 species